CUUGGACAUGCUCAUCAAAUAUUGCUUUCUUGUAUGAACUUCCCAUCUGUGUGACAAUGGCAUAAAGUGGAAGGGUGCUGUAACUGCAUAGUAUCUGAAUGAACACCCCAAUAAUUAGCCUGGGGACAAUAUAUCGGACUUGUCCCAUUAUGCAGGAAUCAAAGCCAUAUUGAACCCAUAUCCAGAAGAAAAAUGCAAUCUCAAAAGCAUUUUGGAAGAGGAUGAAAUGAAUCAAGAACAAGACAAUGUCAGGUCGGUUGAACCAAAAGUGCUCAUCUGAUGGUUUAACUACCAAGUCCCCUUCUAUGGCUACAUGUUUCUCAGCAACAUCAUGAGCCAAUUGGGUGAUUACAUGCUCCAACUUGGUGCCAACAGCAAGUAGAAGAAGGAAAGGAAGGAAUGCUAUCCAGAAAUAUGUAUGCCAACCAUUAACAUUCAGCAAUAAGAAGAUGACCACAAAUAUCCAAAGAUACCAACUUAUACCAACAACUGUCUUAAAGUCAUCUUCAAGGGCACGUACCAUGUAUCUGUGAAAGUUAAACUUUGGACUUCCUCUGCAAUGUGUCAUGAUGAAACCUAGUCGCAGAGUUAUGUAAUCUGAUUUUGUCACAGAUGCAUAAAAUUGCUUGAAAAAGGAAUGCACCCACCCCAACAGAGCAAAAUCUUUACCAAUUCCAAGAAAAUGCUCCUGGAUAAAUGUGUGUUGAUGGACAUUGGUGAACUUCUUUUUCAAAACUUCAUCUGUAUCAUAUCGAUCUU
rnacentral:misc_RNA from 1 species